rnacentral:rRNA from 1 species
CCUACGGGAGGCAGCAGUAGGGAAUAUUGCUCAAUGGGGGAAACCCUGAAGCAGCAACGCCGCGUGGAGGAUGAAGGUUUUCGGAUUGUAAACUCCUUUUGUUAGAGAAGAUAAUGACGGUAUCUAACGAAUAAGCACCGGCGAACUCCGUGCCAGAAGCCGCGGUAAUACGGAGGGUGCAAGCGUUACUCGGAAUCACUGGGCGUAAAGAGCGCGUAGGCGGGAUAGCAAGUCAGAUGUGAAAUCCUAUGGGUUAACCAUAGAACUGAAUUUGAAACUGGUAUUCUAGAGUAUGGGAGAGGUAGGUGGAAUGCUUGGUGUAGGGGUAAAAUCCGUAGAGAUCAAGAGGAAUACUCAUUGCGAAGGCGACCUGCUAGAACAUAACUGACGCUGAUGCGCGAAAGCGUGGGGAGCAAACAGGAUUAGAUACCCGAGUAGUC